UUAAGCGACUAAGCGUACACGGUGGAUGCCCUGGCAGUCAGAGGCGAUGAAGGACGUGCUAAUCUGCGAUAAGCGUCGGUAAGGUGAUAUGAACCGUUAUAACCGGCGAUUUCCGAAUGGGGAAACCCAGUGUGUUUCGACACACUAUCAUUAACUGAAUCCAUAGGUUAAUGAGGCGAACCGGGGGAACUGAAACAUCUAAGUACCCCGAGGAAAAGAAAUCAACCGAGAUUCCCCCAGUAGCGGCGAGCGAACGGGGAGGAGCCCAGAGCCUGAAUCAGUGUGUGUGUUAGUGGAAGCGUCUGGAAAGGCGCGCGAUACAGGGUGACAGCCCCGUACACAAAAAUGCACAUGCUGUGAGCUCGAUGAGUAGGGCGGGACACGUGGUAUCCUGUCUGAAUAUGGGGGGACCAUCCUCCAAGGCUAAAUACUCCUGACUGACCGAUAGUGAACCAGUACCGUGAGGGAAAGGCGAAAAGAACCCCGGCGAGGGGAGUGAAAAAGAACCUGAAACCGUGUACGUACAAGCAGUGGGAGCCCUGAUUUAUCAGGGUGACUGCGUACCUUUUGUAUAAUGGGUCAGCGACUUAUAUUCUGUAGCAAGGUUAACCGAAUAGGGGAGCCGAAGGGAAACCGAGUCUUAACUGGGCGUUAAGUUGCAGGGUAUAGACCCGAAACCCGGUGAUCUAGCCAUGGGCAGGUUGAAGGUUGGGUAACACUAACUGGAGGACCGAACCGACUAAUGUUGAAAAAUUAGCGGAUGACUUGUGGCUGGGGGUGAAAGGCCAAUCAAACCGGGAGAUAGCUGGUUCUCCCCGAAAGCUAUUUAGGUAGCGCCUCGUGAAUUCAUCUCCGGGGGUAGAGCACUGUUUCGGCAAGGGGGUCAUCCCGACUUACCAACCCGAUGCAAACUGCGAAUACCGGAGAAUGUUAUCACGGGAGACACACGGCGGGUGCUAACGUCCGUCGUGAAGAGGGAAACAACCCAGACCGCCAGCUAAGGUCCCAAAGUCAUGGUUAAGUGGGAAACGAUGUGGGAAGGCCCAGACAGCCAGGAUGUUGGCUUAGAAGCAGCCAUCAUUUAAAGAAAGCGUAAUAGCUCACUGGUCGAGUCGGCCUGCGCGGAAGAUGUAACGGGGCUAAACCAUGCACCGAAGCUGCGGCAGCGACACUAUGUGUUGUUGGGUAGGGGAGCGUUCUGUAAGCCUGCGAAGGUGUGCUGUGAGGCAUGCUGGAGGUAUCAGAAGUGCGAAUGCUGACAUAAGUAACGAUAAAGCGGGUGAAAAGCCCGCUCGCCGGAAGACCAAGGGUUCCUGUCCAACGUUAAUCGGGGCAGGGUGAGUCGACCCCUAAGGCGAGGCCGAAAGGCGUAGUCGAUGGGAAACAGGUUAAUAUUCCUGUACUUGGUGUUACUGCGAAGGGGGGACGGAGAAGGCUAUGUUGGCCGGGCGACGGUUGUCCCGGUUUAAGCGUGUAGGCUGGUUUUCCAGGCAAAUCCGGAAAAUCAAGGCUGAGGCGUGAUGACGAGGCACUACGGUGCUGAAGCAACAAAUGCCCUGCUUCCAGGAAAAGCCUCUAAGCAUCAGGUAACAUCAAAUCGUACCCCAAACCGACACAGGUGGUCAGGUAGAGAAUACCAAGGCGCUUGAGAGAACUCGGGUGAAGGAACUAGGCAAAAUGGUGCCGUAACUUCGGGAGAAGGCACGCUGAUAUGUAGGUGAAGCGACUUGCUCGUGGAGCUGAAAUCAGUCGAAGAUACCAGCUGGCUGCAACUGUUUAUUAAAAACACAGCACUGUGCAAACACGAAAGUGGACGUAUACGGUGUGACGCCUGCCCGGUGCCGGAAGGUUAAUUGAUGGGGUCAGCGCAAGCGAAGCUCUUGAUCGAAGCCCCGGUAAACGGCGGCCGUAACUAUAACGGUCCUAAGGUAGCGAAAUUCCUUGUCGGGUAAGUUCCGACCUGCACGAAUGGCGUAAUGAUGGCCAGGCUGUCUCCACCCGAGACUCAGUGAAAUUGAACUCGCUGUGAAGAUGCAGUGUACCCGCGGCAAGACGGAAAGACCCCGUGAACCUUUACUAUAGCUUGACACUGAACAUUGAGCCUUGAUGUGUAGGAUAGGUGGGAGGCUUAGAAGUGUGGACGCCAGUCUGCAUGGAGCCGACCUUGAAAUACCACCCUUUAAUGUUUGAUGUUCUAACGUUGACCCGUAAUCCGGGUUGCGGACAGUGUCUGGUGGGUAGUUUGACUGGGGCGGUCUCCUCCUAAAGAGUAACGGAGGAGCACGAAGGUUGGCUAAUCCUGGUCGGACAUCAGGAGGUUAGUGCAAUGGCAUAAGCCAGCUUGACUGCGAGCGUGACGGCGCGAGCAGGUGCGAAAGCAGGUCAUAGUGAUCCGGUGGUUCUGAAUGGAAGGGCCAUCGCUCAACGGAUAAAAGGUACUCCGGGGAUAACAGGCUGAUACCGCCCAAGAGUUCAUAUCGACGGCGGUGUUUGGCACCUCGAUGUCGGCUCAUCACAUCCUGGGGCUGAAGUAGGUCCCAAGGGUAUGGCUGUUCGCCAUUUAAAGUGGUACGCGAGCUGGGUUUAGAACGUCGUGAGACAGUUCGGUCCCUAUCUGCCGUGGGCGCUGGAGAACUGAGGGGGGCUGCUCCUAGUACGAGAGGACCGGAGUGGACGCAUCACUGGUGUUCGGGUUGUCAUGCCAAUGGCACUGCCCGGUAGCUAAAUGCGGAAGAGAUAAGUGCUGAAAGCAUCUAAGCACGAAACUUGCCCCGAGAUGAGUUCUCCCUGACCCUUUAAGGGUCCUGAAGGAACGUUGAAGACGACGACGUUGAUAGGCCGGGUGUGUAAGCGCAGCGAUGCGUUGAGCUAACCGGUACUAAUGAACCGUGAGGCUUAACCUU
rnacentral:rRNA from 1 species